UACGUAGGGGGCAAGCGUUGUCCGGAUUUACUGGGCGUAAAGCGCGCGUAGGCGGAACGUUAAGUCCGGUCUGAAAGCCCCCGGCUCAACCGGGGAGGGUGGCUGGAAACUGGCGUUCUUGAGGGCGAGAGAGGAGGGUGGAAUUCCUGGUGUAGCGGUGAAAUGCGCAGAUAUCAGGAGGAACACCUAUUGCGAAGGCAGCUCGCUUGGACGUAACUGACGCUGAGACGCGAAAGCGUGGGGAGCAAACAGG
rnacentral:rRNA from 1 species